rnacentral:rRNA from 1 species
GCGCACGGGUGAGUAACACGUGAAUUAUCUACCUCCGAGUGGGGAAUAACUGAGAGAAAUCUUAGCUAAUUACCGCAUAAUACCUACGGGUCAAAGCAGCAAUGCGUUUGGAGAGGAGUUCGCGGCCGAUUAGCUAGUUGGCGGGGUAAUGGCCCACCAAGGCGAUGAUCGGUAUCCGGCCUGAGAGGGCGCACGGACACACUGGAACUGAAACACGGUCCAGACUCCUACGGGAGGCAGCAGUGGGGAAUUUUGCGCAAUGGGGGAAACCCUGACGCAGCAACGCCGCGUGGAGGAUGAAGUAUCUUGGUACGUAAACUCCUUUCGAUAGGGAAGAUAAUGACGGUACCUAUAGAAGAAGCCCCGGCUAACUUCGUGCCAGCAGCCGCGGUAAUACGAGGGGGGCAAGCGUUGUUCGGAAUUAUUGGGCGUAAAGGGUGCGUAGGCGGUUUGAGUAAGUCUCGUGUGGAAAUCUCUGGGCUCAACCCAGAGUCUGCACGGGAAACUGUCGGGCUUGAGUAUGGGAGAGGUGAGUGGAAUUUCCGGUGUAGCGGUGAAAU